GCAAACUUGUCAAAUUGUUUCAACAUCUGCUUCCCUUUCGUCUUUAGAGCCCGGCUUUCUCAAGGUACAAGCAGCAGGCGGCUUCUCCAAUGCCCGGAGUGCCAAGGAUGCUCAUCUCAGAACUAGGACAGCACAACUGCACAGAAGGGGACAGUCUGGCUGCCUGUGUUCUAAUUUUCCCCCACCACUUGUCAGCUGUACCUCUUCAUAUGAAAGGAGAUGACUGGGGAUGGCUGUCGAGGCUUAGCGGGUUAAGCCUGCUGCUUGGGACACACAUAUCCCACAUGCAAUACCUGGAGUUGAGUACCACUUCUGCUUCCC